UACAAACUUUUUCCGCGUAGAUAAUGAGCGAAAGGUCAUGCAAGUGCUUCGAGCUUCAAGGAUCUAAAGCAGACCCACCUGUCCCACGCCACUGCCCCGAGGGUCGCGGCGGGAGCAUCACCACGGGAGAGGCUGAUGCUGUUCCUGGCACGUGCCACGUUUGUGCAGUGCUCUGCGUGUGUUGCUUCACGCUGCGGCCGCACACAACAGCGACCCGGAAAGGAGGUACACACAGGAUGAAAAGAGGCUGAACAGAACGAGCCAUUGUGAGUCAAGUACACUGGACAGCGCUUCCGCCGUCCCUCUUGAGUCCCUGCACGCCGCCAGCCCCAGCAUCCAGCCAGCCAGCCCCAGCAUCCAACCAGCCAGCCUGCCAGCCUGCAGCCACGGCACCGUGGCACAGCGGAAGAGCCACGGUGAGGGUCGCCGCCCCUACACGGAAUUCUCACUUGUCCUCGGAUGUCCACACGACGUCGCCCAAACUUGUCAUGUCGGCGCCGCGAUGACUGAUUUCUUCACUCGAGGCUGUCAGUGAGGCGUGAAUCAUCUCCCUCCACCACCGCCACCUCCGUCAUCCCUGCUACCGCUACCGCCACCAACGCCGGCAAACAGGUACACAAGAGUUCCGUGGAGGAGAAAAUGUUAGCAAUCACACAGGAAUGAACGCGGUGCUUCAAGAGGUGGACCACUGAACUAAAAGAAAAUAAAGUCACAGAAAAAAAAAUGCCACUGAGAGGAAAGCAAAAAGAGGAAUGUGAGGGCCAGACCUUCACGCCCCAUCAUCCAUCGUGCACGGAGGAGGACAAGGACAGCUGCGCGUCUCCCUUACAGGCUGCGACACAGAUUAAACUAUUCCCCAGGAAGGGCCAAGGGAGAUACGCACACACCAUCAACCAAUCAGGGUCAAAUAAGCUGGUAGACAACUUGGCAAGUCACAGAACCCGCCAAAUUUGAUCUAAACAUUCAAAUUAGUGGCGCUGAAGAGUCUGAUUAAAUAAACGAUGGCCGUCUGUGCGGACCAAAAUGUGUUUGAUUAAAUAAACGAUGGCCGUUGUUUAAGGGUUAAUAAUAAUAAUAUAUUUAUAUAUUAUUAUUAUUAUUAUAUUAAUUCAAAUCCAAUCAGCUGCACUCUGACUGAUCAUGGCUUUCAAUUUGACAACUGGAAAAGCUAAAGGAAUCAAGUCAAAACCAAAAUAAGGAGAAAGAUACUUUUAAUUCAUUUUAGUUAUCUUAAAACUUUGCAUAGAAGCUACUCUUAAGAGUAACAGUAAUUCUCAUUGGUUUCCACUUGAGGAUCCUAUGAAUCCUUAAAAAGAUAAUUACUCUGCAAACCCUUCAUCUUUAAUUUAAAACAAACCGUUUAUAGCAGAAUAACAUGAAGCAACUUUUUAAGUGCUUACUAGAAUUAUGCUAAUAUUUUCACUAUUAUAACAACCUGUCAUUAGUAUGUAAACUUUCAAUGCAAUAACCACGGAAAAACAUUUUCAAAUAAACAUGCCAUGCUACACUUUCAAUAGUAAACUACCCUCAAACACCCCACAGGCCAUUAGUUAAGUUGGUGUAAGACAAAAACAAUGAAAUUAAGAUUUACUUUUGAGACCAAGUCAAAUUCUAUACUGAAAAUACAAACUGCAUAUUGCAAGAGGCUGCACUUCAGUAUAAUACAUCUGUGAGCACCAUAUUCAUCUGAAGUCCCCUUUCUGAUGUCAUGGUCAGCUGUCAUGUACUAAGAUGGCAGUGCUGUCUCAUCUAGCAUGCACACAAACCACUCCAUAAGUUCAUGUUAAAUUAUUAAUAUACAUUAAAGAAUGACAACCUCUUGUAGGAUGCAGAUUCAUUAUAGGCUACAAGAAACUACCAGCACUAUAUUACAUACAAAAUCCCAUUACUGGAAUAGAAAACCAUCAAAAUUUACCCUCCAAAUUAAUUCAUAUGGAAACCAUCCUUCUUGACUAUAUACAAGGUUCUCAUUUACAGCUCAAAACAUCAGUUAAUAAACAUCAUCUUCACAACAAACAUUUCCUGAGUUGCUAGACCUAGGAGUCAUUUCAGUGAUUGUCAUGUUUCCACUGGCUCUCAUCCUUUGUCACUUUUUUUACUCAUUCACGGCUCUCAUAUAUUCCAUUUCUCAUAGAGACAGUAUAAGGAAGUGGGAUUUUUGGUUGUAUUUUUUCCCAUGCAAGGAACAAUAUCCUUAGUUUAAAUAUUUUACUGGAUAAAGGUAAUUACUGAAGCUCCAUUAUUGCAGUUGCACUGUACUAGCCACAGACUGCAGUGAAGUCUGUGUUGUCAAAAUCCCACUUUACUAAUAAAAUUCCGUGUUGUCAAAAUCCCACUUUACUAAUAAAAUACCUAGCUGGUA